GACGAACGGUGGCGGCGUGCCUAAUACAUGCCAAGUGGGACGCAAGGGAACACACUGUCCUUGCACCCGUGUUUUCUUGAGUCGCGAACGGGUGAGUAACGCGUAGGUAACCUGCCUAUUAGCGGGGGAUAACUAUUGGAAACGAUAGCUAAUACCGCAUAAUAUUAAUUAUUGCAUGAUAAUUGAUUGAAAGAUGCAAGCGCAUCACUAGUAGAUGGACCUGCGUUGUAUUAGCUAGUUGGUAAGGUAAGAGCUUACCAAGGCGACGAUACAUAGCCGACCUGAGAGGGUGAUCGGCCACACUGGGACUGAGACACGGCCCAGACUCCUACGGGAGGCAGCAGUAGGGAAUCUUCGGCAAUGGACGAAAGUCUGACCGAGCAACGCCGCGUGAGUGAAGAAGGUUUUCGGAUCGUAAAGCUCUG
rnacentral:rRNA from 1 species